rnacentral:pre_miRNA from 1 species
AUGCAUUGAUGAGUUGAAGUCGGUUAUAAGCUUAAAUACAGAACACACCCGUUGUUAUUAAAGCUACCAACCGACUUCAGAUCAGACUUUGCAUA